GGCUCUUCCGUUCUUCCCUAACAAUGGCUGAGGACACCAGCACUUCCUCCCUUCUAGCUUGCUCCCUCUGAGUCACUGCCAUUCCCAGUCACAUGGUGUAAGCAGCUUGGCUUUGCCCCAUGACCCCGGUGGGGGCAGAUAAGGAGACUCCCGUCAUGCUUGAGUCCAGCCUCACUCUCUGGAAAAGUCUGGCCUCCUGCGGCAGCCAAGCAUGGCAGGCCUCUGCCAACAGAGGUUAAGCCAAGCAUCCUCAGACCAUGUCCCAGCUCCAGUUCAGUCUGACCUGCGUGCAGAGAUUAGCAGCCAGCUAGUGGAGUGAAAAGGGAUCUCCUCAACUUGCUUCCCUUUUGCCUUCCUCAAAGGAAGAACUAAGAAGAGGAGGCCAGGAAACAGCUCCUACCUUAAGUGCAUCUGAUGACAAAUGACUCAAAUACCACUUUGCAGAGAGGGAGUCCCAGCUAAAAACUCACGUAGAAUGGAGGAGAACGUUGUUUUUCCUUCCCACACAUGUCUCACACUCACGGCAGAAAGCAAGGAAGAAGGGAAGGGAAAAAUAACACUGGAGUAAGUGCUGUUGGAGAACCUUGUUCACAAGUUUCAAGAAGCCUGUCAGGCCCUGGAAUUAACCUGUUCCCAAAAGAGAUUGGUUGAACUAUGUCCCCAGAUAAACCCUCAGAUUCCCGAAUCUCCAUAUAUCACAUCCUCAACCGGUAGUGGUGUUUGAUCAUCUUCUCCAGAUAUACAGAAGAAUCACAGGAGAUCUGGCAAGAAGCUGCAACAUUUCCUACUAUGUCUG